rnacentral:rRNA from 1 species
GAUGAACGCUAGCUACAGGCUUAACACAUGCAAGUCGAGGGACCGGCGCACGGGUGAGUAACACGUAUCCAACCUGCCCUUUACUCGGGGCUAGCCUUUCGAAAGAAAGAUUAAUACCCGAUAUCAAGGAUGGUGGGGCGUUCCAUUAGGUUGUUGGUGAGGUAACGGCUCACCAAGCCUUAGAUGGAUAGGGGUUCAGAGAGGAAGUUCCACCAUAGUGGAACGGAGACACGGGCCAAACGCCUACGGGAGGCAGGAGUGAGGAAUAUUGGUCAAUGGGCGCUAGCCUGAACCAGCGAAGUAGCGGGAAGGAUGAAGGGUUAUGGGUCGUAAUCUUCUUGUAUAUAAGAAUAUGUAUUAUAUGAAUAAGGAUCGGCUAACUCCGUGCCAGCAGCCGCGGUAAGUC